rnacentral:rRNA from 1 species
CCGGAGCUUGCUCCACCGAAAGAAAAGGAGUGGCGAACGGGUGAGUAACACGUGGGUAACCUGCCCAUCAGAAGGGGAUAACACUUGGAAACAGGUGCUAAUACCGUAUAACAAUCGAAACCGCAUGGUUUUGAUUUGAAAGGCGCUUUCGGGUGUCACUGAUGGAUGGACCCGCGGUGCAUUAGCUAGUUGGUGAGGUAACGGCUCACCAAGGCCACGAUGCAUAGCCGACCUGAGAGGGUGAUCGGCCACAUUGGGACUGAGACACGGCCCAAACUCCUACGGGAGGCAGCAGUAGGGAAUCUUCGGCAAUGGACGAAAGUCUGACCGAGCAACGCCGCGUGAGUGAAGAAGGUUUUCGGAUCGUAAAACUCUGUUGUUAGAGAAGAACAAGGAUGAGAGUAACUGUUCAUCCCUUGACGGUAUCUAACCAGAAAGCCACGGCUAACUACGUGCCAGCAGCCGCGGUAAUACGUAGGUGGCAAGCGUUGUCCGGAUUUAUUGGGCGUAAAGCGAGCGCAGGCGGUUUCUUAAGUCUGAUGUGAAAGCCCCCGGCUCAACCGGGGAGGGUCAUUGGAAACUGGGAGACUUGAGUGCAGAAGAGGAGAGUGGAAUUCCAUGUGUAGCGGUGAAAUGCGUAGAUAUAUGGAGGAACACCAGUGGCGAAGGCGACUCUCUGGUCUGUAACUGACGCUGAGGCUCGAAAGCGUGGGGAGCAAACAGGAUUAGAUACCCUGGUAGUCCACGCCGUAAACGAUGAGUGCUAAGUGUUGGAGGGUUUCCGCCCUUCAGUGCUGCAGCUAACGCAUUAAGCACUCCGCCUGGGGAGUACGACCGCAAGGUUGAAACUCAAAGGAAUUGACGGGGGCCCGCACAAGCGGUGGAGCAUGUGGUUUAAUUCGAAGCAACGCGAAGAACCUUACCAGGUCUUGACAUCCUUUGACCACUCUAGAGAUAGAGCUUCCCCUUCGGGGGCAAAGUGACAGGUGGUGCAUGGUUGUCGUCAGCUCGUGUCGUGAGAUGUUGGGUUAAGUCCCGCAACGAGCGCAACCCUUAUUGUUAGUUGCCAUCAUUUAGUUGGGCACUCUAGCAAGACUGCCGGUGACAAACCGGAGGAAGGUGGGGAUGACGUCAAAUCAUCAUGCCCCUUAUGACCUGGGCUACACACGUGCUACAAUGGGAAGUACAACGAGUCGCGAAGUCGCGAGGCUAAGCUAAUCUCUUAAAGCUUCUCUCAGUUCGGAUUGUAGGCUGCAACUCGCCUACAUGAAGCCGGAAUCGCUAGUAAUCGCGGAUCAGCACGCCGCGGUGAAUACGUUCCCGGGCCUUGUACACACCGCCCGUCACACCACGAAAGUUUGUAACACCCGAAGUCGGUGAGGUAACCUUUUUGGAGCCAGCCGCCUAAGGUGGGAUAGAUGAUUGGG